ACGGCGGCUGUGUGGUGUGGUCAAAAGAGCGCGCUGAGCCUGGGGCACGCAGGCUGAGGGCGUCAUGGCUGCAUCGCCGUGUCCUUACACCUGCUUUGUAUGCUAAGGCUGCAUUGUUGACCUGGCCGCCAUCUAUGUACUCCUAUCACUACAUCCGCUGACUGAACAAACCAAGAAGAUGAUUUGUGUCAAUGAACUUGAACAUACCUUGCUUACCGUUUCCUUUACUUGCCCGCUGCAGGUGACCGGCUCUGUGCAAGUGCAGGCCACCAACCUGACCCUGGGCCCCAAGUACGGCUUUGCCCUGGACCUGGCCUAAGCGCUGCACGCGGAUGUUCAAUGGUGCCUCGAUCAUUGUACGCGAGCGUCGGACCUGUGAGCGCGCAACCUUGACUAAAUGGGGCGGCGUGAGUGUGUCGGACUGGUCUAAUCCAGAUUGUUCUGUGGUUGAUCCAGGGCUUCUCGUGACCCUGCACACGGGAACUCGCUGUUCGGAUUUGUUGGAGUUGUGGUGGUGGUUUGUCGUAGUAGCGGGCAU
rnacentral:lncRNA from 1 species